rnacentral:sRNA from 1 species
UUUCUAUGAAAAACUAUCCAGUUUAUGGGUUUUUUAAUGAAAAAUACACCUCUCUCUACUUUUAAUUAAAACUAUAAUUAUUUCU